rnacentral:pre_miRNA from 1 species
UUAAGUCAAAUCUGUAUAGAGUUCGAACGUUUGCCUACGUUUGCCGCUAGGGGCGUGUUCCAAUUGCAUGCAAAUUUGAGUUC